UGUAUCCCUGGUUGUUAGCCGUCUAGAUUUGUGAACUAUGGUAUCAAAUAAUUGAACCGGUUCGAAGGAUUGAAAUGUUAGCACAGAUACAGUAUACAUUGUCCUCAUCCAUCUACAGUAUACAGCGGUAACGUGGCAAAAUAAAGGACUGGGUGACGAUAACACCAAAUACUUUCAGAUGUGUGCUACCAUGCAUCCGUUUACGCAAGAACCAAAUUAGAGUCCUGGACCUUGGUGACUCUCUUGUCUACUCUCAUUCUGGAAAAGAGAAAAUUCUCCACGAUUUCUACCAUAAUCUGUUUGGUGUUGCAACUAUGUGUCCCAUUGAACACUUGUCCUCUGCUUACCCCAACUGCUCUUGAUCUUUUCAAAGCUCCUCCCUUGUUGCGGGUUUCUCCCUCCCUGAAAUGACGAGUGCUCUUUGGAGCAUGAGAAAUGAUUCUAGUCCAGGCCCAGAUGGUUUUGGACCUGCUUUCUUUAAAUUCUUUUGGAACCAAACAAGCCCGUGCCUCCUUGCUCUUUUUGAUGAAUUCUACAACAGCAAAGUUGAGUUGCAGAGAGGAUCAACAAAUCCCAUAUUGUUCUGCUCCCCAAAAAGGUUUGUGUUACUAUAAACCCAAUCAUUACAGGCCUAUUUCUUUACAAAACUGUCCCCUGAAAACUGUGUCUAAAGCUCUCACUUCCCGGCUUCAGCCACUCAUUCAUCUCCUUAUCCAUCCUCAUCAAACCGGCUUUAUCAAGGGCCGUAGCAUCUCCAAAAAUUUCAAUUAUGCUGCUGAGCUUACUCAAACUUGUUACAAACGCAGAAUUCCUAUCGUGGCACUAAAGCUCGAUUUUAUAAAAGCUUUUGACUCAAUUGAAUGGCUGGCGCUUUAUUCUAUUCUUGAAGCUAAUAAUUUUCCUCCGAGAUGGAGGCAGUGGGUGCAGGAUAUCUAGAGUUCUAGUCAAAUGGUUGUUCUUCUUAACGGUACUCCCGGCAAGUGGAUAAACUGCAAAAAAAGGACUUCAACAAGCUUAGCAGCCUGCAACCACUCGUCACUGUGCUGCACAGGCUGCACGCGAACGCUGCAGGGCCCCGCCGGCCACAGCCGCAUGCCCACACAACUGCAGGGCGCUGACGACCAGCUGUUAGCCUGCGCAGGCAAGGGAGCAAAGGUGCUCGACGCCCACGCCCCAGGCCCUGCCCCUCAGCCGGCAGGGCCGCACGGAUCGCGGAAAAUAAAUUAGUAAGCUCCUUUCAUGAAGUAGAUUUAUCAUGGAAAAUAAAUUAGUAAGCUACUGCUAGAACCUAGAUUCUUUUAUGCAGAGCACACCAAGUCAGAUUUGGUGCUAAAAAGUUUACAGGGUACGUCCAAACCUAUAUGGAUCCUAGUGUAAAUUUUUAAGAUUUUCUUAACAACAUACAUAGCAUAGCAAAUACAGCAAAAUACAACACCAUUAAAGAUUCGUUUUUAUCAGUUGAUAUACUGAGUUUCUGUACUUCAGAUUUCUCUGUUAUGACCUACUACUCACAUGCGUCCUCUGGUAAAACUAACAUAAUUUUCUAAGUAGAGAAACUAUUUGUCUUGAUUUAAUGCACCUAUACAUGAACAAAUACAAAAGAGCAUUCUAGAUGGUAGCAAUGUGUCUCAAAAUUUUACCCUAUCAUUCAUGAAACAAUUAGAAUCUACUGUAAAAAUCCCAAAUAUAGAUCUACAGCACAACAUCAUGUAUAAGCACAUCUAGCAAAUUUGUUGCCCAAAGCAAGAUUUAUCAAGAACUAUUUCUAGGGAAUAGUGCUAACCUUGAAAUUGUUACACAAACAUUAGAAUCCCAUGUGUAGGCUACAAUAAAAAUUUCAUGUCAUUUAAUGGCGCUAAACUUUAGUUAUGAGCAAGAUAAGUUCAACUAGCAUUUAAACACUAUUAAGCAUACAUCCUUUGUUGCAGUAAAACUUUUCAACUAAUGUAUAUCACAUUUUGGUUCCAAUGUGUAGAUAUAUUCUCAAGGAUUCCAAAAAGGUCUCAUUUAUUAUUUUAUGAUUUUUAUGUGAUUUUACAUAGAUCCUACAAGUGGCAGCAAAUUUGAAAACAAGGAUUAACUUGGGUUCUCACAUAUAGGCCCCUAAACUUUUGUGCAACAGACCCUGAGUCGAAAAUCUAGAUUACAAUCGGGUCCCUGGUGCCAUGGCUCAUGGCGGAGCUCCUGGCCGACCGGAUUCUGGCGACGGCAAGGCCCACCGGCAGUGGGGGAGGGGUGGAGGAGCGCCAGGGAGUUGCAAGCUACCUCUUGAUGGGCGUGGUCUAGCAUUAAAAUUACGGAUAUAAACUCAAGAAUUUUAGGGAUAGUCAUUCUCUAUUUUAUUGUCAUGCAGUGGCAGAAUGAGGACAACAAUAUUGUACAUAAUUGGUUGAGAUAGCUAAACAGGUAUUGCACUACAAAAAUGCGAGAAAAGCAAUGGCUGAUUUAAGGAAAUUGCUUUAGUUGCAGGUGAA